rnacentral:lncRNA from 1 species
GAAAUGACAUGAAGACUCACCAGCUGCUUUCGGCAAUGAAAAGAGAACACAUUGUGAUUGCCAGGGUCUUUAACAUGCCCAGUACACUGUGAACCUCCAAGAGAAUAGAAAUUGACCACAAUACAUUUCGAACAGAAGGCCAUAUGAAGAUCUCCCAGACCAAGAAAAUACCAGCGAACAAAGCCUAGAAAAUGCUGUCUUCCAGGAGGCUUGGAAGUACUUAAGCUGCUUUUGAACUCGGAUACCUGUUCUGCACCCUGGCCAGUUGUCAUGAGAUAUGCAUGUCCAGCAACAGAAGAGAUGCCUUGGAGAGAUGUCUUAAGCACCCAUUAUCAGUGAUGUCAAAAGAUGGCAGAAGGGAGAAAAAGAGGAUUCAAAAAAAAAAAGCACAGAAUAAUUUCUCAGGGGGAGGACUUCUUGAAUGCAUUGUAAUUUUGCUCUCAAGUAGGAAUUGUAAACCUUCACGGAGUGAAUCUUUGUCUCUCAGGGAGAGGAGAUUUCCCUUCCCGGCUUGCUCAGGGCUCCAGUCUGCCUCACCCACGACCAUCCCUCAUCAUAACUGUGACUGUUAUGCUUCUAGUUGA